rnacentral:rRNA from 1 species
ACGUAGGGUGCGAGCGUUAAUCGGAAUUACUGGGCGUAAAGCGUGCGCAGGCGGUUUUGUAAGACAGGUGUGAAAUCCCCGGGCUUAACCUGGGAACUGCGCUUGUGACUGCAAGACUCGAGUACGGCAGAGGGGGGUGGAAUUCCACGUGUAGCAGUGAAAUGCGUAGAGAUGUGGAGGAACACCAAUGGCGAAGGCAGCCCCCUGGCCUAAUACUGACGCUCAUGCUCGAAAGCGUGGGGAGCAAACAGGA